rnacentral:rRNA from 1 species
CCUACGGGAGGCAGCAGUGAGGAAUAUUGGUCAAUGGACGGGAGUCUGAACCAGCCAAGUAGCGUGAAGGAUGACAGCCCUAUGGGUUUUAAACUUCUUUUAUAAGGGAAUAAAGUGCCCCACGUGUGCCUUUUUGUAUGUACCUUAUGAAUAAGCAUCGGCUAAUUCCGUGCCAGCAGCCGCGGUAAUACGGAAGAUCCGAGCGUUAUCCGGAUUUAUUGGGUUUAAAGGGCGGUUAGACGGUUCCAUAAGUCAGCGGUAAAAUCGGGGGGCUCAACCUGACAGUGCCGUUGAAACUGGCAGACUUGAGUAUGCGCAGGGUACACGGAAUUCGUGGUGUAGCGGUGAAAUGCUUAGAUAUCACGAAGAACCCCGAUCGCGAAGGCAUUGUACUGGAGCAAGACUGACGCUGAGGCUCGAAAGUGCGGGUAUCAAACAGGAUUAGAUACCCCAGUAGUC